rnacentral:rRNA from 1 species
UACGUAGGGUGCAAGCGUUAAUCGGAAUUACUGGGCGUAAAGCGUGCGCAGGCGGUUAUGUAAGCCAGAUGUGAAAGCCCCGGGCUCAACCUGGGAACUGCAUUGGAAACUGGCGAGCUUGAGUGCGGCAGAGGGGGGUGGAAUUCCGCGUGUAGCAGUGAAAUGCGUAGAGAUGCGGAGGAACACCGAUGGCGAAGGCAGCCCCCUGGGCCGACACUGACGCUCAGGCACGAAAGCGUGGGGAGCAAACAGG